AUACGUAGGGGGCGAGCGUUGUCCGGAAUGAUUGGGCGUAAAGGGCGCGUAGGCGGCGCGGUAAGUCUGGAGUGAAAGUCCUGCUUUCAAGGUGGGAAUUGCUUUGGAUACUGCCGCGCUUGAGUGCAGGAGAGGUUAUCGGAAUUCCCGGUGUAGCGGUGAAAUGCGUAGAGGUCGGGAGGAACACCAGUGGCGAAGGCGGGUAACUGGACUGCAACUGACGCUGAGGCGCGAAAGUGUGGGGAGCAAACAGGAUUAGAUACCCUGGUAGUCCACACUGUAAACGAUGAAUGCUAGGUGUAAGAGGUAUCGACCCCUUUUGUGCCGGAGUCAACACAAUAAGCAUUCCGCCUGGGGAGUACGGCCGCAAGGUUGAAACUCAAAGGAAUUGGCGGGG
rnacentral:rRNA from 1 species